CGCCUGGUGGCACAGCCGGUGGUGCGCUUGCGUCCCAUUGAUGCAGUGUGCCAACUGUGGCAGGAGACCCCGUUCGAUCCGGGGCCAGGUGA